CAGCAGCCGCGGGAAUACGAAGGGUGCAAGCGUUACUCGGAAUUACUGGGCGUAAAGCGUGCGUAGGUGGUGGUUUAAGUCCGUUGUGAGAGCCCUGGGCUCAACCUGGGAAUUGCAGUGGAUACUGGAUCACUAGAGUGUGGUAGAGGAUAGUGGAAUUUCCGGUGUAGCAGUGAAAUGCGUAGAGAUCGGAAGGAACAUCUGUGGCGAAGGCGACUAUCUGGGCCAACACUGACACUGAGGCACGAAAGCGUGGGGAGCAAACAGGAUUAGAUACCCCUGUAGUCCCUGUCUCUUAUAC
rnacentral:rRNA from 1 species